UAGCAUAAUGCCCUCAAAUUUCAUCCAUGUUGUUGCAAAUGGCAGGGCUUCCUUCUUUUUCGUGGUUGAAUAAUAGUCCACUGUGUGGACUCUUAAUC